GAAAGAUUCAUCGGAAGAGGAUGGGCAUGCGGCGCAUUAGCUAGACGGCGGGGUAACGGCCCACCGUGGCGACGAUGCGUAGGGGUUCUGAGAGGAAGGUCCCCCACACUGGUACUGAGACACGGACCAGACUCCUACGGGAGGCAGCAGUGAGGAAUAUUGGUCAAUGGGAGAGAUCCUGAACCAGCCAAGCCGCGUGAGGGAAGACGGCCCUAUGGGUUGUAAACCUCUUUUGUCGGAGAACAAAACCCGGGACGUGUCCCGGACUGCGUGUAUCCGAAGAAAAAGCAUCGGCUAGCUCCGUGCCAGCAGCCGCGGUAAUACGGAGGAUGCGAGCGUUAUCCGGAUUUAUUGGGUUUAAAGGGUGCGUAGGCGGUCCGUUAAGUCAGCGGUAAAAUUGCGGGGCUCAACCCCGUCGAGCCGUUGAAACUGGCAGACUUGAGUUGGCGAGAAGUACGCGGAAUGCGCGGUGUAGCGGUGAAAUGCAUAGAUAUCGCGCAGAACUCCGAUUGCGAAGGCAGCGUACCGGCGCCAGACUGACGCUGAGGCACGAAAGCGUGGGGAUCGAACAGGAUUAGAUACCCUGGUAGUCCACGCAGUAAACGAUGAAUGCUGGUUGUCCGGGUCGAAUGAGAUCUGG
rnacentral:rRNA from 1 species